rnacentral:rRNA from 1 species
ACGGAAUAGAUACCCCGGUAGUCCACGCCCUAAACGAUGUCUACUAGUUGUCGGGGAUUCAUUUCCUUGGUAAACGCAGCUAAACGCGUGAAAGUAGACCGCCUGGGGAGUACGGCCGCAAGGUUAAAACUCAAAGGAAUUGACGGGGACCCGCACAAGCGGUGGAUGAUGUGGAUUAAUUCGAUGCAACGCGAAAAACCUUACCUACGCUUGACAUGCCAGGAACUUUCCAGAGAUGGAUUGGUGCCCGAAAGGGAACCUGGACACAGGUGCUGCAUGGCUGUCGUCAGCUCGUGUCGUGAGAUGUUGGGUUAAGUCCCGCAACGAGCGCAACCCUUAUCCUUAGUUGCUACGCAAGGGCACUCUAGGGAGACUGCCGGUGACAAACCGGAGGAAGGUGGGAUGACGUCAAGUCCUCAUGGCCCUUAUGUGUAGGGCUUCACACGUCAUACAAUGGUCGGUACAGAGGGUCGCCAACCCGCGAGGGGGAGCCAAUCCCAGAAAACCGAUCGUAGUCCGGAUUGCAGUCUGCAACUCGACUGCAUGAA